rnacentral:rRNA from 1 species
AUUGAACGCUGGCGGCAGGCCUAACACAUGCAAGUCGAGCGAGCGGCGGACGGGGGAGUAAUGUAUGGGGACUGCCCGAUAGCGGGGGAUAACUACUGGAAACGGUAUCUAAUACCGCAUACUAUCGGAUAACCCAUAUGUGAUUAGCUAGUAGGUGAGGUAAUGGCUCACCUAGGCGACGAUCCCUCGCUGGUCUGAGAGGAUGAUCAGACACACGGGGAAUGAGACACGGCCCAGAAUCUUACGGAGUCAGCAGUGGGGAAUAUUGCACAAGGGGCGCAAGCCUGAUACAGCCAGGCCGCGGGGAUGAAGAAGGCCCUAGGGUUGUAAAGUACUUUCAGUCGGGAGGCGUUACCGACAGAAGAAGCACCGGCUAACUCCGUGCCAGCAGCCGCGGUAAUUC